GAUGAACGCUAGCGGCAGGCCUAAUACAUGCAAGUCGAGGGGUAACAGGGGAGCUUGCUUCCGCUGACGACCGGCGCACGGGUGCGUAACGCGUAUGCAAUCUACCCACAACUGGAGGAUAGCCCGAAGAAAUUCGGAUUAAUACUCCAUAAUGCAGGGGUGCCGCCUGGUACUAUUUGCUAAAGAUUUAUUGGUUGUGGAUGAGCAUGCGUCUGAUUAGUUAGUUGGUGAGGUAACGGCUCACCAAGACGACGAUCAGUAGGGGGUCUGAGAGGAUGAUCCCCCACACUGGCACUGAGAUACGGGCCAGACUCCUACGGGAGGCAGCAGUAGGGAAUAUUGGGCAAUGGGCGCAAGCCUGACCCAGCCAUGCCGCGUGAAGGAUGAAGGCCUUCUGGGUUGUAAACUUCUUUUAUACAGGAAGAAAAAGGUCAUGCGUGACCAAUUGACGGUACUGUAUGAAUAAGCACCGCUAACU
rnacentral:rRNA from 1 species